AUGGGAGUCUUUAAACUGCCCUACUCUGUCUGUGAUGAUCUCACGGAGAUGGUCCGGAACUUCUAUUGGGGAGCAGCCCAAGGGAAACGGAAACUGCACUCGAAGUCUUGGCAAAAAAUGCAACAACCAAAAAGCAAAGGGGGUGCAGGUUUCCAUGAUUAUCGGUUGUUCAACCAAGCCCUUCUAGCUCGGUAGGCCUAGAGACUCCUAACUAGGCCCGAGAGCUUGUGUGCAAGAUUGUUAAAGAGUAAAUAUUAUCCCAAUGGCAAUUUAGAGGAUACGGUUUUCUCGGGUAAUUCUUCUUCAACGUGGACUGCUAUCAGCCAUGGCCUUGAUCUGCUUAAGAAAGGGUUGAUAUGGAGAGUGGGAAAUAGACGGAGUAUUCAAAUAUGGAGGGAUGCUUGGAUCCCUAGGCCUUACUCAUACAGGCCAAUUUCGGCAUAAGGUACAUGCAGAUACCGGUGGGUUUCCCAACUCUUAAGAGAAAAUGGCUCCUGGAAUGUUAACCUCCUACAACAAGCCUUUCUCCCCUGCGACGUACAUGAGAUCCUGAAAAUAAGAGCAUCACCAAGACUAGGCAAUGGCUUGCUUGCUUGGGGUCCAACAAAGAGUGGUGCAUUUACAGUGAAGUCGGCAUACACUAUGGCCUUCAACGAGAUGUGUAGGCUGACAGAAGAAUCUUCAAGCAGUGCUCCGAAUGGCCACUGCACAUGUUGGAAGAUUAUAUGGAAGAGCCUUGUUCCGCCCACUGUGAAGAACUUCACUUGGCGCGCUGCUAUUAAUUCUCUUCCUACUUGGCAGAAUAAACAUAAACAGAAGCUUGAACUCUCAGGAAUUUGCCCUCUCUGUGGGCGUGAGGAGGAGGACUCAUUUCAUGCCUUAUGCAGAUGCCCUCUCAUGGUGCAAAUGUGGAGAUCUAUGGACACUGUAUGGCGUUUGCCGAAGCUGGAGGAGUUGAAAAACACUGGCACUGAGUGGCUACUUCAACUGCUGCAGCCACUUACUGAUAUUGAAUGA
rnacentral:rRNA from 1 species